GGGGUUUUUAGGUGUAGAAUGUAUAUAGAGUGAGAUAGGUAUACGAAUAGAGGGAGAGUUAGUAGAACGUGAUCGAGUACUGGCUUGCACUUGAGUCGCUGAACAGCGCAGAUAUUAUCGAGUUUUAAAUCGGGAGGCUUGAUGCUGGCGCCUCGCCUGAUUAUAAUCACAGACGACUGUGCUCGGCCUUCGUGCUUAAUCCACUCAACACCUGUGCACCUUAUCGAAGUUAGUAGUCUUUCCUCCUUAGUUGGAGCCGCCGGGGUUGACUUUGUUAGUAGUGUUUCGACGCGAAAGCAUAUGGUCGGCCUUGGCUGGGAUUGACGAACACUUUGACUUCAUCAUACACACUUUAAUUGUCUUGUAGAAUGUAAUGCUCCUUGUGGGCGAAAUGAAAUACAACUUUCAACAACGGAUCUCUUGGCUCUCGCAUCGAUGAAGAACGCAGCGAAAUGCGAUAAGUAAUGUGAAUUGCAGAAUUCAGUGAAUCAUCGAAUCUUUGAACGCACCUUGCGCCCCUUGGUAUUCCGAGGGGCAUGCCUGUUUGAGUGUCAUGUUAACAUCAAACCCCUUGCUUGUAAAGGCUCGGGGCUUGGAUUUGGAGGUUUGUGCCGGCCUGCUUCAUUGUCAGUUGUCGGCUCCUCUUAAAUGGAUUAGCUGGACUUUGGUCUGCGUGUCGGUGUGAUAAGUUUAUUUCACCAAUCGCUUUCCUAAAUGGGUCUGCUUCUUAAUGGUCUUUCGGACAAGGUCUUUAAACAGCCUUCUUUGAACUCUUUGCACCUUCAAAAUCCAAGGAUAGAGAACUUAACCCCGCGCCCUUGUGAAAA
rnacentral:sRNA from 1 species